CUCGUGAAUGGGAGACAACCAAAAUAUACUUCUAGAAUACGAAAUAGGUGAAUGAUGCAAUGUGGGUACCUACCAAGUAGCUGAGAUGUAAUGGCUUUUGCCAGAUAAGUGGCAGUCACAUAAGUCUAGCAAGAUAACAGGGCAUAGUAAAAAAUAUAAUACAGAUGCCACAUGCCUGGAGUUUUUUCAAUUUGGGCACAUGGUGCCCUCAAAGGAUCUCCUCCCAUGUUACACAGAAAAACAUAAUUGGCUGAGCACAGUGAUUCAAACCUACAAUCUCAGCACUUUGGGAGGCUGAGGUGUACAGAUUGCUUGAGCUCAGGAGUUCGAUACCAGCCUGGAAACAUGGUAAAACCCUAUAUCUACUAAUACGAGAAAAUAGCCAGGCAUGGUGGUGCAUGCCUGUGGACCCAGCUACAUGGAGGCUAAGGUGGGAAGAUCACUUGAGCCUAGGGGGUGGAGGAUGCAGUGAGCUACGAUCGCAGCACUGCACACCAGCAUGGGUGAUGGAGUGAGACCGUCUCUCCAAAAAAAGGAAAAAAUAAUAACAUUCCCUAUAUAUCUAACCUAUACAUCUACAGUGUUUUUCUCAUCUCAGUGUUCUAGGAUUCAAUGACAGAAGGCACAGUGCUUUUUUGCAAACAUUACAUUCAAAAGGCAUUUCCGUAGUGACAGCUCUCCUGUGAGUUUUGAAGCCAGACUUCUGGAUAAAUAGCCUAUAUUUGCCACACUAGUAAGGCCUUCAUUCAGUGUUAAGUAUAAUCCUGAAGGAAUACAGAGGUGUGGCUACAAAACUGCCAAAUUUAUUUUACUUGUAAGGACUUUUCUCUAGUGUGAACUCUCCAAUGUCCAAGGAGAGCGGACUUCUUUCGGGUAAACAUUUUCCACAUUUGCUGCAAUCACAGGAUCUUACUCAGGUGUGUGCUCUCCUGUAUUUAAUGAGACUGGACUCAUUCUCUGCACUCAUAAGGCCUUUCUUUCAUGAACUCUCUGACGGUAACGAAGUGAAGAGCUUUUCCUAAAUUUUUUUUCACAUUCACUACACCCAUAAGGCUUUUCUCCAGUGUGAACUCUCCUAUGAUUAGUGAGACUGGAGAUUCCAGCAAAAGAUUUCCCACAUUCACUGCACUCAAGGCUUCUGACCAGUGUGAACUCUCCUGUGACUAGUGAGAUAGGAGCUUGCAGCAAAAGAUUUCCCACAUUCACUGCACUCAUAAGGCUUCUGACCAGUGUGAACUCUCUUAUGAACAAUGAAUGCACAGCUGUGGGUAAAUGACUUCCCACAAUCACUGCAUUCAUAUGGCCUUUCUCCAGUGUGAACUCUCUGGUGUGCAGUGAGGUGGCACUUGUGCCUAAAAAAUUUCUGACAAGCCUCACAUGCAUAUGGCUUUUCUCCACUGUGAAUUCUCUGGUGUACAAGGAGGUGAGACUUCUUCUUAAAUAAUUUUCCACAUUCCCAACACAUAUAAGGCCUUUUUCUAGUAUGGCCAUGCUGGUGUAGAAUUAGGUUACCCUUGUGACUAAAACAUUUCCCACAUUCCCCACACUUAUAAGGUCUUUCUGUAGUGUGAACUCGCUGAUGACUCCUAAGGUGUCCUUUUUCAUUAAAAGAUUUCCCACAGUCUCCACACUUGUAAGGUCUUUCUCCAGUGUGCAUGCGCUGAUGGAUCCUAAGGUGCCCCUUUGAAAUAUAAGAUUUCCCACAUUCUCCACACUUGUAAGGUCUUACUUCAGUGUGAAUGCGCUGAUGGUAACUAAGGCUGGGCUUCCGACUAAAAGAUUUCUCACAUUCUCCACACUUGUAAGGUCUCUCUCCAGUGUGAAUGCGCUGAUGACUCUUAAGGUUCACGUUUGAACUAAAAGAUUUCCCACAUUCCCCACACUCAUAAGGCCCUUUUCCAGCGUGAACUUUUUGAUGGCGCCUAAGAUGUCCUUCUAAGCUAAAAUAUUUCCCACAUUCUUCACACCCAUAAGGUUUUCCUCCAGUGUGAAAUUGCUGAUGUUGAAUGAGGCUGCUCUUUUGACUAAAAGAUUUCCCACAUUCUCCACAUUCAUAAGGUCUUUUCC
rnacentral:lncRNA from 1 species